AAAAAAAAACAAAAACAAAAAAAGCAAAGCAACGGCAUCAGGAAGGCAAAGGCCAGCAGUGAGCAAGGACAAGAUGGCCCGUGUCCUGGUUGCCUGGGGUGGACUGGACUAUUUCAUCAGGGUUAACUUUGGAACAGAAAGCAUGGAGCAACCCACCCACCCAAACCAAAGACGCUUAGCACCAGGCCAGAGACCUCAUCUGUCCUGAAACCAUUGCUGGGAGGCACUAAGUAAAUAUUUGCUGAUAGGAAAUAAACACCUGAAAUGAGAAAUUACAUCAAAGGAAGCAGCCAGGCAUGGAGGCUCAUGCCUGUUAUCCUGGCAUUUGGUAGGUAGAGAUUGAAGGAUCAGGAGUUCAAGGUCAUCUUUGACUACAUAAGGAGUUAGAAGCCACUCUAAGCUACACGAAGCCCUGUCUCAAAUAAAUAGUACAGCAAUCAAUUGAAACCGUCAGUGUUAAGGUGGUGCUGAUGGAUGGGUACCUGAGUCUCGUCCAUCGGCCAGCUGCAUGGAGCUGCCUGGGUCAUUCUGAAUUGAUAACCUACAGUGGUCAAGACUGGAAAAAGCAACCCUCCUUUGGUCACAGUUCUGCCUCGUGUUUGAGGGCUGUACACACUUGUGGGUCUUGCGAUUGGGGCAUCCCCUAGAAAGUCUCAAUCAUCCAGACUUUAUAUAGAGGACCUCCAGCAAGAACUGGCACAAAGGGUCUGUCCAUUCUGAUUGUAGCAUCCCUUUUACACAGUGCUGGCUUCCUUCCCUGGAUAGAUAACAUUUACUUCCUGAGUCUUAGAACCCAUAGCUCCACAUUAUUUUUUUUAUGUUUAUUUUAUAAUUGCUUUGCCUACAUGUAUAUAAGUGUACCAUGUAGGUACCUUGUGCCCAUAGAGGCCAGAAGACAGCAUUGAAUGCCCUGGAGCUGCUAUGUGGGUGUCAGGAACUAAAACCCAGGUCCUCUGCAAAAUCUGCCACCGUUGUUAACUGCUGAGCCAUUGUCCCAGCCUCUGCACCGUUUUCAGUUAGAUAGGCAGAGUCCCCAUCCUGAUUUUCCCAGUAAGGAUGCUUCUCCACUCACCAGGCCUACUUCCCAGUCUGUAGGAGGAAGCAGUUAAACUACAUUAUCCCUGAGUUCCUUUUCAGUGCUAGCGUCACAUCUUCAGAUGCCCCACGGCUGUGACAGUGCUGAUCGAGGUGCGGAACAGGCCCCCGUCAUCAGCUCCACAUUCCGGAGCAUGGAAGGAUCAACAUGACUGCAGCCCCCAAAAGGUGACCUUGCGGGGAACUUCUGGCAAAGAUGAUUUUGCUGCUUGUGGUGAGCUGCCUUGGCCGACAGAGCAUUCAGGAGUGGAUGCCUACAGACUGGUGGAUGCCAGCUAGAUGGAUCCAUUCAUAUUGACUAAGUAGGUGAGCCAUUUCUCCACACUCUCUCACCUUGAAAUGCUACCCAGUGUUUCUUGUCACUGUGGCCUUCUGGUUCUCUGUGCAGGUAGCAGGAAGACAUAGCUCCAGGUUUCAUCAUCAACCAGAGACUGGAACCUGGAGCGUGAGAAGGCUUGUCCAAAACCAAGGUGCAAACUAUUGAUUUGCUGUUCACUAGAGGGAAAGCUCUAGUCUAAACUAAGGUGGCUUAGUUGAUAUGCUUGCUAUGCAGGCAUUAGGACCUGAGUUCAAUCCCCAGCCCUGUGUAAUACAUGAGAAUGGAUAUUGACAGCACACACUGGAUAACAAGUUUUAGCUCCAAGGAAAGAUCCCGCUUCAGAAAAUACAGUGGAGAGUGAUAAAGACACCUGACUCCAACCUGUGGCUUGACAUGCACAUGCACAUACACAUCUUCUAUAUACAUACAUGUACCAGCACAAAGGUACAGACACACUCACAGGAACCAGACCCAAAGCUGAUCUUUGGCCGUCAUUCUAAGGGCAGAUAUAACAGGGCACCUGAGAAGAAGGUGCCAUUGGAAGAGACAACAAAGGUAGCCAUGUUCCAGAACCCAACAAAGCGUUUGCUGCACAGCUCUGAGGUCAGGGCUGAAGCCCCAGGUGCGGAACAAUUGACCUCUAAUCUGGCUGAGAGGAGGGAGGAGGGGGAUGGAGGGGCUACAGAGACAGGAAGGCACCCGUGCUCAGCAUCAAGACAGGGGAGGCUCAGGCAGCCAGGCUUACAGAGUGGGGACAGACAGCGAGGGGCCCAGAGCAGUGGGAUUAAGUGUGAAGGUGAGGGGAUUAGUUGUGUUGAUGGAAGGAACAGAAUUCAAUCAUGUUCCUUAUGCGGGGAACCUGAUCUCCAUGUUCUCAGGGAGCCUUCAUCUGCCCUGCUGGUCCUGACUUUGGCUCUAAUUAGCUGUGGCUUCAUCUUGCCUGGUGGCUGGGGUCAUGUCUUAACAUUCUUUGUAGCUCUGGGCACCUAGCAACAGGCAGCUGUCGAUGAAGGGGCAGAAUAAUCACUGCCUGUCUCAACUUUUCAAUAUCUGAAAUGGAGAUUUAGAUACAUUCAUUUUGUCAAAAAGAUUUCUGUUGUGUUAUACAGGGACUCAACAAAUUACAUAGAAGUAGUGGUUACAUUUUCUGGAUCUUAGGGAUGCUCCCUUGCCUCAAUGUGGGCUCAGCUCCUAUAAUGUAUGCCAUGAGGUCAUGGUCACUGUCUUGUCUGAUCACGACAGCCUCCACCUGCAUGCAGUGAGGCAGCCAGCCAGCACUGGCCUGUAUCUCAGGGAAGGAAACAGAGACCCAGAAAAGCAAAGCAAAGGAUAGUGGUAAGAAGCAGAGGGGAUGGAGGUGAAGCCAUGGUCUUGAUUCUUUGGUCUCUCCUAGGCAGUAUAUACUGAAUUCCAGCUAUUUCUUUACAUACUUUGCACCAGAAGUCAAGGUCAAGUAAGCCAUGGCUUAGCUGCCUGAGCUGGGACCCAUACUAUGCCUUAUGGGACUAGAUAAUGUGUCCUCUGCGUGGUAGAGCAGCCCAGGCUCUACCUCAGCUACAUGAGACUCCAUACUAGGAAAUCGCAUAGGUUUGUAGAGCUGGGUGAGAAGUGAAGAAUCUAGAAAGCCCUGAUCUCUGUCUGUCCAGAGGCUGGAGAUUGUAUGAGACAGCUCUCAAUUAGACCAGUAGGCUUGGAGAGGAACAAAUCAGGACUUCAUGUGAGAUAGAAAACACAAAGAGGUCAGGCUGGGGCUAGAGAGAUGGUUCUGUAGUCCAGUGUGUACACUGCUCCUGCAGAGGACCCAGAUAGGUUCCCAGUACUCAUAUUGUGCUGAGUCUUCUAACUUCUGCAGGCUCCUACGUUCACAUACACACACAUACACUCUGAAAUGCACUUGCAUGCUCGUGCACACACUUAAAAGAGCAGGCCAGGAGAGCCCAGAUGUCUAGAGUGCAGCCCUGAUGGGUGGCAGGGUUGAAGAACAACAUAGUUCUGCGAGUCAGUCAGAGACAUUGGAAAGUGACUCAGUUGUAACCAAGGUAUUGGAGACAUAGACAGGUAGGUCUGGCAGACACCUGAAUCCCAAGUAGAAGGCUGGAGAAAGGCAAGCUGUCCUGGAGCCAUUGCCACUCAAUAGCAGGGACCCAAAGAAAGUGAUUUCCCAGGAACUAUGUGGAGAUGUCAGAGGGCCCAGGUCAAGAGCAGGAGUUAGAGAUGUCUAAGAAGCUGAUCAAGGUGGCAGAAAAGGAAUGGGCCCAAGAGACAUAACAAAGAACUUGGAGAGGCUGUUGCCAUGGCAACCAAGGUAGUGAAGGAUUUCAAGGAGAAAGUAAUGAACAUUGUCAGAUGUGGCAGUGAAUUCCAGUCAGAUCAAGACAGGAAUUUUCCCUCUGCAUUUCAGGAUUAGCUGACUUGUAGUGGCUUUAAAAGAGCAUUUGUGGGAAGUUACAGGAACACAAGACUGUCACUGAGAGCCCUUUAAAGAGUCAAGAAGGAGAACUUAGAGAUGUGAAAGAUGGGUGUGUACAUGGUGAGGCUAGGAAGAAUGAGCCUGUUCGUGGACAUGAGCUCCAACAUGAGAGCACACGUCGUUCACUAACACAGAUCAUGUCACCCCUUCAGUCUAGACUGGGUUCAGCCUAGACUUCAGCCUACACUGGGUUCUUUAGGCGAAGUCAGGCACUUAGUAGGGCUGUGUAGUGACAGAGGAGAAAGAGGCAGUCAUGCACGUCAGUGCGCAGUGUCCCACACUGAUGGGUACUCUUGACAGAAGCACACGCCAGACCCAGAUGGGAAACCCAGUAGAAAGUAUUCUGGGCCGAGAGCAACCCUGGGUCAGAGGCUUACUCCAGGAUGGACAGACUCCAGAGAGGCAGACAGACAGGGAGGAGCUAAGGAGAUACAGGGCCUGGCCUUUUUCAUCUUAAUGUUGAGGGAAGGAGCGAUGCUGGUACAUGGAUAUCCUGGGCUGUGGAGUCAGUGUAAUUGAGCAAUUAGGGAUGGAGGCAAUUUGAAAUAAGCUCCCAACGGGGCUGGGAUCAAGUGCAGAAGAAGAUAAAUUAGUUUGGGGCAAUAAUGUGCAUAUGACCAAAUGUGGGCAAAACUCAAUUAUUUACCUUUUAGAGAGCAACAUGAUCCCUUGUUCUUUUGGGAGCUUUUAUCUGCCCUCUAUCCUGCCUGCAUGUCUAAUUAGCACCAGUUUGAUCCUGUUUUGUGGCUGGGAUCAUGACUUAAUAUUCUGUGUGCAGUAAUCAGUGAGCUCUUUAAGUACCAAGCCAGAAUCUCCUGCUUUACACUGGAAUUCCAAAAGUCAACAUGUAUUCUUGCUUCCACCAAAAAGUGUGCCUGUUGCAGCACUAGAACCAGGAAUUGGAGCGGCGAAGUCUGGAGAGGCAGACACUUGGGAAACAGUGAGGGAACAGGGACUGUCUCGGGCAUCCUUGACCUCUAGGCUCACGUGAACAUCACCUCCCUCACAAAAUACAUUGCUCGGUGGUCCCUCCGGGAGGGAAUAGAAGCCAGAGGAGACACAGCUGAUUAUACCAACACCACCCAAGUGAUGAGAUGAUGAGAGACAGGAACAGGAGAGAGGAAAGAGAAACCAGCAGGCUGGGAGGUCAGGCCAGCAGACCCAAGCUGGUCUUCCUGGAGAGCUUACCCACUCUGACAAUGGCCCCCAUCAGUGUCCAUCUUACUGUACUGGUGUGGUCUGGAGACAGGAUCCUCACCCUGGGCCAGACAGUCUGUAUUUGCACCCAAACUCUGGUGUUUGCUAUGGUUUUGUGCCUACUCAGAUGGACUCACUCCAUCUGAGGCACAUUGUGUGUGAUGUGACAGAAAUGGAGUCUGGCAGACAGCAACCCUGCUGAGCACCUCACAGCCUGCCCCUUCUUUCCUCCCAGAUCCUGUGUAUGGUACCUUCAUUCUGCUGAUCUCUGUCUGUCUUUGUGAGCCAAGGCUGUAUUUUAAUGAGCAAAGUUUUGAAUAGUGUCUUAAUACCUGUUACGGUAGAUGGUGUCCACACUGGAAGUGCCACUGAGCCUUGUGGCCCACAGGACUGGCCUCGAGUGGCUGUCUGCAUCUGCGCCCACUCCAGUGCUGCACUUGGCUGGCCACACACAGCCUUCUGUCUUAGCUGUGUCCUGUCGACUGACAGUUGAGAUGCCUUUGGUGACUCCUUGUGCUGGUCCCUUUCUGCUCACAUACCAGGAUUUCUGUAGGACAAGGACUUGGAACUGUUGGGUCACGGGGAAGACACGUCCUGAAUUCAGAUAAAAAACAACUACAGUGUUCUCCCCAGUUCCCAGGUCAAUCUCCUGCCAGGAUGUCUCCAGGUUAAUGUUCUCACCAGUUGGGCGGAUAAAAAUACUGUCUUGGGUUAGUGUGCACUGUCCGUAUCCCACCCCAACCGAUACUUUCAUUUAUCCCCAUUCCUAGUUUCCUCUCUGGACUCUGUGCCUGUGUCCUUCCUGCCUCUCCCCUUCUGACUGCCUUCUGUCCUUCCCCUCCCUCUCUCCUUCCCUCCCUCCCAUCUCUUUUUCUUCCAUUUUUUGGAGACAGGGCCUCACUAUGUAGUUCAUCCUAACCUCAAGCUCCAGGUCCUGUCUCCUCAGGCUCCCGGAUGCUGGUACUAUGGAUAUGAUGCUACAGCCUUCCUG
rnacentral:lncRNA from 1 species